GACGAACGCUGGCGGCGUGCUUAACACAUGCAAGUCGAACGGAAAGGCCCUGCUUUUGUGGGGUGCUCGAGUGGCGAACGGGUGAGUAACACGUGAGUAACCUGCCCUUGACUUUGGGAUAACUUCAGGAAACUGGGGCUAAUACCGGAUAGGAGCUCCUGCUGCAUGGUGGGGGUUGGAAAGUUUCGGCGGUUGGGGAUGGACUCGCGGCUUAUCAGCUUGUUGGUGGGGUAGUGGCUUACCAAGGCUUUGACGGGUAGCCGGCCUGAGAGGGUGACCGGCCACAUUGGGACUGAGGUACGGCCCAGACUCCUACGGGAGGCAACGGUGGGGAGUCUUGCACAGUGGGCGGGAGCCUGAUGCGGCAGCGCCGCGUGCGGGAUGACGGCCUUCGGGUUGUGAACCGCUUUCGCCUGUGACGAAGCGUGAGUGACGGUAAUGGGUAAAGAAGCACCGGCUAACUACGUG
rnacentral:rRNA from 1 species